rnacentral:rRNA from 1 species
UAUGUGCCAGCAGCCGCGGUGAUACAUAGGCUUCAAGCGUUGUCCGGAUUUAUUGGGCGUAAAGAGUUCGUAGGCGGUCGAGUAAGUCGGGUGUGAAAAUUCUGGGCUCAACCCAGAAACGCCACCCGAUACUGCUUAACUUGAGUUCGAUAGGGGAGUGGGGAAUUCCUAGUGUAGCGGUGAAAUGCGCAGAUAUUAGGAGGAACACCAAUGGCGAAGGCAGGUCUCUGGGCCAAUACUGACACUGAGGAGCGAAAGUCUGGGGAGCAAACAGGAUUAGAUACCCUGGUAGUCCAGACCGUAAACGGUGGGCACUAGUUGUGGGAACCUUCCACGGUUUCUGCGACGCAGCUAACGCAUUAAGUGCCCCGCCUGGGGAGUACGAUCGCAAGAUUAAAACUCAAAGGAAUUGACGGGGCCCCGCACAAGCAGCGGAGCAUGCGGCUUAAUUCGACGCAACGCGAAGAACCUUACCAAGGCUUGACAUAUAGGGAAAAGUGGCAGAGAUGUCAUGUCCGCAGGGCUCUAUACAGGUGGUGCAUGGUUGUCGUCAGCUCGUGUCGUGAGAUGUUGGGUUAAGUCCCGCAACGAGCGCAACCCUCGUUCUGUGGUUGCCAGCAUUUAGUUGGGGACUCACAAGGAGACUGCCGGGGUUAACUCGAGGAAGGUGGGGAUGACCUCAAAUCAUCAUGCCCCUUAUGUCUUGGGCUGCACGCAUGCUACAAUGGCCGGUAC